CCUACGGGUGGCAGCAGUGAGGAAUAUUGGUCAAUGGCCGGAAGGCUGAACCAGCCAAGCCGCGUGAGGGAGGAAGGCGCAGAGCGUCGCAGACCUCUUUUGCCGGGGGACAAAAGGCCGGACUCGUCCGGUCCUGAGGGUACCCGGAGAAAAAGCAUCGGCUAACGCCGUGCCAGCAGCCGCGGUAAUACGGGGGAUGCGAGCCUUGUCCGGAUUCAUUGGGUUUAAAGGGUGGGGAGGGGGGCCUUUAAGCCGACGGUGAAAGCGCGGGGUCAAACCCCGCCGAGCCGGCGAAACUGGGGGGCUUGAGUGCGGCAGAGGCAGGCGGAAUGCGCGGUGUAGCGGUGAAAUGCAUAGAUAUCGGGCAGAACCCCGAUUGCGAAGGCAGCGGGCCGUGCCGACACUGACGCUGAGGCACGAAAGCGCGGGGAUCGAACAGGAUUAGAUACCCCAGUAGUC
rnacentral:rRNA from 1 species